CAGUCGCCGCGGUAAUACGUAGGUGGCAAGCGUUGUCCGGAAUUAUUGGGCGUAAAGGGCUCGCAGGCGGUUUCUUAAGUCUGAUGUGAAAGCCCCCGGCUCAACCGGGGAGGGUCAUUGGAAACUGGGAAACUUGAGUGCAGAAGAGGAGAGUGGAAUUCCACGUGUAGCGGUGAAAUGCGUAGAGAUGUGGAGGAACACCAGCGGCGAAGGCGACUCUCUGGUCUGUAACUGACGCUGAGGAGCGAAAGCGUGGGGAGCGAACAGGAUUAGAUACCCCGGUAGUCCCUGUCUCUUAUAC
rnacentral:rRNA from 1 species